rnacentral:rRNA from 1 species
AGAGUUUGAUCAUGGCUCAGGACGAACGCUGGCGGCGUGCUUAACACAUGCAAGUCGAACGGAAAGGCCCUUCGGGGUACUCGAGUGGCGAACGGGUGAGUAACACGUGGGUGAUCUGCCCUGCACUCUGGGAUAAGCCUGGGAAACUGGGUCUAAUACCGGAUAGGACCGCAUGCUUCAUGGUGUGUGGUGCAAAGCUUUUGCGGUGUGGGAUGAGCCCGCGGCCUAUCAGCUUGUUGGUGGGGUAAUGGCCUACCAAGGCGACGACGGGUAGCCGGCCUGAGAGGGUGACCGGCCACACUGGGACUGAGAUACGGCCCAGACUCCUACGGGAGGCAGCAGUGGGGAAUAUUGCACAAUGGGCGCAAGCCUGAUGCAGCGACGCCGCGUGAGGGAUGACGGCCUUCGGGUUGUAAACCUCUUUCAGUGGGGACGAAGCGAAAGUGACGGUACCUACAGAAGAAGGACCGGCCAACUACGUGCCAGCAGCCGCGGUAAUACGUAGGGUCCGAGCGUUGUCCGGAAUUACUGGGCGUAAAGAGCUCGUAGGUGGUUUGUCGCGUUGUUCGUGAAAACUCACAGCUUAACUGUGGGCGUGCGGGCGAUACGGGCAGACUAGAGUACUGCAGGGGAGACUGGAAUUCCUGGUGUAGCGGUGGAAUGCGCAGAUAUCAGGAGGAACACCGGUGGCGAAGGCGGGUCUCUGGGCAGUAACUGACGCUGAGGAGCGAAAGCGUGGGUAGCGAACAGGAUUAGAUACCCCGGUAGUCCAA